rnacentral:rRNA from 1 species
UGGGGAAUCUUGCACAAUGGGGGCAACCCUGAUGCAGCGACGCCGCGUGAGCGAUGAAGCCCUUCGGGGCGUAAAGCUCUUUCGACCGGAACGAUAAUGACGGUACCUGGAGAAGAAGCUGCGGCUAACUACGUGCCAGCAGCCGCGGUAAUACGUAGGCAGCGAGCGUUGUUCGGAGUUACUGGGCGUAAAGAGUGCGUAGGCGGCGAGCCAAGUUUGGUGUGAAAUCUCCCGGCUUAACCGGGAGGGUGCGCCGAAAACUGGUUGGCUGGAGUAUGGGAGAGGAAAGCGGAAUUCCAGGUGUAGCGGUGAAAUGCGUAGAUAUCAGGAGGAACACCUGCGGUGUAGACAGCUUUCUGGACCAAAACUGACGCUGAGGCACGAAAGCGUGGGUAGCAAACA